rnacentral:rRNA from 1 species
UACGUAGGUGGCAAGCGUUGUCCGGAUUUAUUGGGUUUAAAGGGUGCGUAGGCGGCUUAAUAAGUCAGUGGUGAAAGCCGAUCGCUUAACGAUCGAACUGCCAUUGAUACUGCUAGGCUUGAGUAUAGUUGAGGUAGGCGGAAUUGACAGUGUAGCGGUGAAAUGCAUAGAUAUUGUCAAGAACACCAAUUGCGAAGGCAGCUUACUAAAGUAUAACUGACGCUGAGGCACGAAAGCGUGGGGAUCAAACAGG